CAUUAACCACGGAGCCAUGGUGGGAACUCCAUUGCUUGUUUACUUUAAUAAAAGUAUCUGGAAGGCAGGCAGUUAUGUUCAAACAAAAGUGUAGAUGCACCUGUCUCUGGCAUUUGAGCUCCGCCGUGCUCACAUUUGAGGAAUUGAGAAUUAUAAGAUUUGCCAAAUCGCAGACGUUAAUCAAGGAUAUAAACUGGCAUUUUGAGCAAAAUCUCAGAUUUGAUGCCAGAGCAAAUCUGAGCGUGUCACAGGAGUGACUGGUGGGGUCAGGUGAGAACGAGACCAGGUCCUGGAGACAUUUUAGAAGCAGAGCCAAGAGGACGUCCUGCUGGACUGGCUUUGGAGGGUGAGGCAGAUAGAAAGACAGAGUGGCUCCCAAGUGCGUGGCCUGAGCAGCUGGAAUUUGGAGUUGCCGUGACCCAGAAGGGUUGGGCAGGACAGGGGUCGUGUGACCAGGGCAGUGGUCUGGGAGCGGGCAGCCCUGAUGACUGCUGGAUCUUCCAGAGGAGACAGAAAGCAGGCGGCGGGACGCUGGAGUCCAGAGUUCAGAGACCUCGUGUGUCUGUUGUCAUCGCUGGCGGUCCUGACAGCCAGGCUGCCAUGUGGCCCUGCGGGCCAAGCGCAGGAGGCCCUGCUGGGGCGGCGGAGCUCAGCCUGAGGAUGAACCACAGUGUGGGAAGGAGCAGGGAAAGUGGUCCCUGCGGGGGCACUGGCCGGGCGGGAAGGGCAAAGGCUGCACCGUCAGGACUCCGAUGUCAUGGGCGAAGCAGAGUCCCUGCAGUUUGCUUCCCAGACCAAUGACUCGAGCGCUGAUGGGUGGCUGAGAGCAAGGCUCAAAGGUGAGGCUUUCCCCUAGACUUUUCUGUUAGAUGAGCACGAAACAGAUUCUAGAGACCAUGUGUCCUGCCUGCAGAGUGUGAGGGAGGCGCUGGUGCUGGAGAAGGCUCACGGCAGAGGAGGGGCCAGAACCCGGGGGGGCGCUGCGAGCUUGUAGACACCAUUGCAAUGAGGGUUUGAGAGGCUACACUUGAUCUCAAAGUGCCUAUGCAUUUCAUCAUUUAUUUCAGAAUAUUUCAGCUCUUAAAAACUGCAGAGCCAACACUGCAGGCCUCCAAUCACUGAGUAAAUGUGAGAUCCCAGCGGGGUCCUGGCGAGCGCACCUGCCAUGCAGGUCCUCGGCCUCGGGGUCCUGGCGAGCGCACCUGCCGUGCAGGUCCUCGGCCGCCUGUUUAUCUCCUGGUCCAGACGGUGCACAAGCCCCACCCCCAGGGCGGGGAGGCCUCAGACGCCUUCAGGAGAGCAGUGUUGGUGUUGCAGUUUGCUGCCAAACAGAACUCGCCUCAACCCUGCUGAGAAGAGGGGCGAGUCGUGGAAACGGCAGGUCUGCAGACGUCCUGCUGACCUCGUGCCAGGAGGCCAGGCCCCUUUCCUGGCUCAAGCGCGUCGAGGCCUCCUCAGGUGAGGAUGCGUGGCUCAGAGAUGGCAACUGCUCCUCAGGACUGGCAGUGCCUUUGGGGCACAUCUGGCUCACAGACUUGUUUGCGUGGCCCUCACAGCCUUGAAAAGCCAGCGAACACUUUUUGCAAACCGUAGCAUUUACACUCAAAGCUCCCUCCUCAGCUUUCCUCUCCUGCCCGCAGGACCCUGUCUCCUCUCCGGCCAGCAUCAGCGCUGAGCCCCUGCGGUGGGGUCACGCCUUGCCUGGCCCCGUGGGACUUUGAGUUGGCAAACCUGAGGCCAGGGGAUCCCUGGUAUGCAGCCAUAUCCGGGAGUCCAAGGGGCUUUGACCCACGGAGAGAAAAGGCACAUUUCAGGUUCAGACAUACGAUUCCCCAGGGAUGAGCGGAAUGCCAGCAGAUGGGCCGCACUGGCCUCUCAGCAAAGCCCAGGGGCCUCCCGGCGUCCGGGUUUGAGGGUCCCUGUCCCACAGCUCUCGCCACCAUUUGCAGUGAAAUUGAUCAACUCUGAAAAAGCCACGGCCGGCGGACUGGUUCAGGCUUUGGAGCAAAGGGAAUAAAACGUUCUCCUUCUAACGGCUUGGACUUCUUGCUUCGGGGGGCCGUCGGCCUCAGCGGUUCUCUUCGGCGGCGCCGUUUCCCGUCGAGGAUCCCUCGCGGAUGGACGUCCGGGGCCGAGUGUGACGGCGGCCGCGUGUGGAAAACAGAGCAUCGUUGCGGAAGAGUGACAGCCCCCGUGUUUAUACUGGCCGGUCUCUAUACGCUGCUUCGAAAAUAGCAGCCUACCUGACUUUUAUUCCCCCUGAGCAUGAAUUAAUGUUUUUCACACAGAUAUCUAUUCCGCUCAAUGUAUUUUGAAAUUUGAUUUAAUUAAAACCUCAACAAAUCAGAUUGUGUGUUUUUCUCAUGGUGAAGGACCACACACUCACCACAGCCUAAGAAAAUUCAGUUUACGAUGGAUUCCAUCCAGGAUUAUGAAGUUCUGUUGUCCAAGAAUACAGUUUUGAGAGAUGAGGUUAGAUUUAUUCGUGCUGUUUUGGCUGAGGCUUCAUUAAAUGCGAGGGCUUUCAUCGUU